GGAGAGGUGGCCGAGCUGGUUGAAGGCGCACGACUCGAAAUCGUGUAUGCGGGGCGACUCGUAUCGAGGGUUCGAAUCCCUCUCUCUCCGCCA
rnacentral:tRNA from 1 species